rfam:Oryctolagus cuniculus chromosome 2, whole genome shotgun sequence.
AUCAUGUUCCAAUGUGUUAUUUGAGUAUUCAAAGAAGUUAGGUUUUUCUCCAGAAUUGACUCUCUCCUGAAGGUCAAAAC